rnacentral:misc_RNA from 1 species
UACGGAGGGGGCUAGCGUUGUUCGGAAUUACUGGGCGUAAAGCGCACGUAGGCGGUUUACCAAGUUGGGGGUGAAAUCCCGGGGCUUAACCCCGGAAUUGCCUUCAAGACUGGUAGACUUGAGGUCGAGAGAGGUAAGGGGAAUUCCGAGUGUAGAGGUGAAAUUCGUAGAUAUUCGGAAGAACACCAGUGGCGAAGGCGCCUUACUGGCUCGAUACUGACGCUGAGGUGCGAAAGCGUGGGGAGCAAACAGG